rnacentral:lncRNA from 1 species
UUUGUGCAGGAUAUACUAAGGAACAAUCAUGUUAAGUUUCAUUCAAAUCCAUUCAGUAGUUUCAGAGGAGAAGAUGUUUGAAAAAUUGUUAACGACGACGACGACGACGACGGACGCCAAGUGAUGAGAAAAGCUCACAUGGCCUUUUAGGCCAGGUGAGCUAAAAACAUAAUUAUACGGAUCAAUUUCACACAUCAUUUACCCUUUUUUUGUUUUACAUUACUUCAGCAGGGCACUGCUAAAAAAAAAUUCUGCCAAGGUAUCACUUCAAGUGGAGGACUCCAUCUUUUAACUUUAUAAAUUUGAAGUCUGUAUGAGGACCUGAAAGAAAAAUACCCACUCCCUUCAAUCAUUUUAGUUGUUUUUUAAAAUGGUCUUUUCAGUGAUUGACUUUCCUCGAUUUGCAAAACAAUCAUGACUACUUGCUUAGUAAAAAUAAGUCAUCAAAGAUAUUGUUUAAAUAUUUAAUUCAAUGCUAAAAUAAUUUAAGUUUUAUCCAUAUUACUGAUAUAUUCAUUUAAAAUAUUGGGUUUGAAAAAGGUUGUCAAGCAUAAUAUCUCCCAAAUGGAGCUUGAAAGAGGGUGAUCUCCAACUUAAGUUUUUUUUAAAUUGCUGCAAUAUUUUUCUAUUGUAAAUACAAUUAUCAUUCUUGUACAUGAACUAUUUAUAAAAUCACAAAUAUGUUCUGCAUUUGUUCAACAUACAUACUGGAAUGCAAGCAUGCGAUCUAUAAAACAAUUAUCUAUUCUACAUACAUAACUGUUUAAAGUUUAAUUUUUAUCAUAAUGUAAAGUCAAUAUAUUUUUUAUCACAUUGAAUUGUCAUGUACAUUUUGGAAAUAUUUUUUCAUCAGAUAUGUUAAAUUAAAAAAAUGAGUGAGUCUUCCAAGGAAGACAUGUGCUGCAUGCUGUUUUGAAAGAAUCUUGUAGAAGACUAUGUGCAAGUCUAAUAACCCUUUUUCAAGGAGAUAUAACAAACUGAUAUUGGCAGAAAUUGUUUAAUCAAUAUCUUUUAAAGAGAAACCUUUAUGUCACUCAUAUUAAAACAUAAAUUAGCCGGUAUGCAACUUAAUUUUAAGAAAAUAUUGUGUUUAGUGGAAUUCAUCAAGUUAUUGUCCAGAGUUGUGGAUUAACCAACUUGUAUAAGCAGAUAUGGUUGAAGUCUGUGUUUUGGUAUAGGAAAACCCCAAAAAUCAUUUUCAACAGCUAAAAAAUAAAACACAAGUCAAGUAUGAGGGGGGAUAGUAGGGGUCCUGAUCCCAAAAUCCUACGGCUUAAAAACACGAGAUCCCAAAAUCCCGGAUUAAAAAACAUGAAAUCCUGAGGUCCCAAAAUUCGAAAAAAAGAAUUCCUGGAUCCCAAAAGGGUCAAUCCCAAAAUCCUGAGCUUAAAAACAACUGAUCCUGGAGUCCCGAUAAAGGGCCUAUCCCCCUCAAGUAUUUUUAAAAUCUUUCUAUAUUCAGUUCCAAGGUCUGUUUUGACUCUACACUGCAAGCCAAUUUAUACUUUUCAGGCUAAUGCCACAUAAUAAUGAUUUAGAAAAUAUGACACAUAAAUGAUAACUUCACUUAAUAAAAAAAAACUAUAUAUCAGUCAUCUGCAUAAUGUGUCAAAAAACAACAUGCUAAUUCAAUGAUGUGGUUUCAGUGGAGUACUUCAAUAUGAAGCCUAAAUACAUCCAACCUAAAAAUUCUAUAUAGAUAACUAAAUAGUGAUAUUGACAGCUUUCUUAAUGAAUACACUUGUUUGUAAUGUAUAUGAUGCAUUUGAAGUCUCAAUAAACUUAUUCUUAUCAUGCACAUUUGUUUUUAUGUCACUCUAUGAAAGCCACAUGAAUCAAACAACUGACAUACAAACAAAUUAGUAGGUCCUUAAAGGUUUUGAUACAGAUAAGUUUCAAUGAAUAUGAGACUGUUUACAAGUGUAAUUUGAGCCUGUUUUGAUGAUUUACUAGGUAUAAAAAAAUGGCACUUUUUUCCAAGAAAAAUUAGAGCUGAGAACUUAUAUUGACAUAAUUAUUUCCCCUUCUACUGUUUCUUAUUCCCUAUAAUAUAUAUUGACCAGUUUGAGAUACAAUGUAUGGAACAAACAAACAAGUAACUAGGUAUUUUCAUCACAUAAUUAAC